CUUGUUUUUAGAUUUCCGUAUUCUCCUGAUUAUUAACAUAUCAUCUCCUCAGCCAAUAUGAAGAUCUAUAGGCACUAUGUAACACUUAUAUGGUAGUAUUUGGAGGUAGUGGGUUUAAAAGGGUUCCAUUUAAAGGGGCACUCUAGGCACCAUUACAACUUCAUCUCACUGAAUUGUUUACGAUGCUCAGGGUCCCCUGAAACCAUCUCACCAUUUUUAAUCAGCUUGGUACCGAAUGAUGGUCUCUUGGCGCCUAUAACUCCAUCUUUGCUGGAG